GGAGAGAUGGCUCAGUGGGUAAGAGCACUGACUGCUUUUCCAGAGGUCCUGAGUUCAAAUCUGAGUCUCACAA
rnacentral:tRNA from 1 species